rnacentral:misc_RNA from 1 species
CACACCAUGAGAGUCUGUAACACCCAAAGCCGGUGGGAUAACCUUUAUAGGAGUCAGCCGUCUAAGGUAGGACAGAUGAUUAGGGUGAAGUCGUAACAAGGUAGCCGUAGGAGAACCUGCGGCUGGAUCACCUCCUUUCUAAGGAAGGCGAAAGAUGAUGGAGAGUGCGAGAGCACUAAGAGAAGUCAUCGAGAAAGCCAAGCGGAAGCACACUGAGAAACUUUGUUUAGUUUUGAGGGUAAUACCUCAAGAGCUAGUACAUUGAAAACUGAAUAUAAUCAAAAGCAAAAAACCGAGACAAUCGAAAAAACAGAUUGAAGAGCGACCGAGAAGAGAGAGAAACUCAACUUGAAAUAGGUCAAGUAGAAAAGGGCGCAUGGUGAAUGCCUUGGCACUAGAAGCCGAUGAAGGACGUGACGAACCACGAAAGGCUUCGGGGAGCAGUAAGUAAGCAAUGAUCCGGAGAUAU